UCAUCGCAACCCCACAACUGGUAUGAUGCACUUAUUUACGACGCUGAAUGAUCUCUCUACAUAUUAUUAUAUAAAAGUAGCCUCCUUGUGUAUUUUCCAUAUCAAUUAAACGGGAGGCGAACACUGGUCUGGGAAAGGGACAAUUGCAGACUGCACACGGUUCUGUGUCUAAAUAUAGACACGGACGCGGUGAUGAAGGAAGGCUGGCUGGGUCUGGGAAAGGGACAAGUACAGGGUCAUCUGGUGGCACGGGUGGCCCAGUCGUCUAAGGCGCCGCAAUUCGCUGUACAGAGUUGCGUCCCUUGGUCAGACCGGGAACCUAUGAUGUUAAAUCAAGGAGUGUCAGCUUAAUGUAUGAGAACUGAAAACCCCAAAACACAGAGUACUAAAAGACCAUGGGUCACAGUCAGGGGUAAUCCACGAUUCAAACCAAUGCUCAGCGGAUCCUAGUACGGUUCAAGGAGGCAACACUUCACAACAAAGUGUCAGCUGCAGUGCCUUAGAUUUCUGGGCCCCGAAAUGAAUUGAACUAUUUAUACUUAAAAGAACUUUAAAAAUUGUUUUUGACUGUUCUGGCAUUAAUCAUUCAAAUUGAACUCCAAUGUCUAAAAGUAAUUACAACAAAGAUGAACUUCUAACACACGAUGCUGCGGGAGUUUGGGUAUACCUGGAACACGAUGGCGUUGAAGUUGAGCUGCUGCAGCUUGUCCAGGAGGAGGACCAGCUCCGCCUUCUGCUGGGAGGUGGAGUGAUGGCUGGACAGGGGCCAGUCGAUAUCCGCCACUGUGGCCACCCACACAGCUCGGAACUCUCUCACUGGCCAGCCAUCGUCGCUAGAUUUGACGGUCUCUGUUCCACCAAACAUUUGAUGUUAUGUACCUCAUUCAACAUUAUGCACAAAACAUUUAACAUUAUGCACAAAACAUUCAACGUCAUCAAAAAUAUUCCAUGCCUUUUAACUUCUUGCAGAAAUAAACACAAUUUACAUUCA